GGGAGUGUAGCUCAGUGCUAUGGCAUAUGCUUAGCAUGCAUUAGGCUCUGGAUUUGAUCCAGUGCACCCC
rnacentral:tRNA from 1 species